GAGUGCAGCCCUUGGAGGGAGGCCCAAGAUCUGCCACGCCUUCUACACCUGAUUGUGAUUCUUUUUUCACAUAAUGGGCGCUCCUGUCCAUGCUAUGCAAGGACUCUGAGGAAGAUACAUGAAGCAUCGAAACGUUAUUAAAAGAAUGACCCAGGUUCCUGAGGAGCUGACCUGAAUGACCAUUAUGGCCUCAAUCCGUUGUGCCUCUAUAUUCUUUGCAAAAUGCAAUGAAUAUUUACAGAGCUGACCAUGGCCGUUUGAGAAUCAGAGGAAUGGAAAGGCAAUGAAGUGACUUGGCCUACAGGUCUUUUGUGAGCAGGAGCUGGGGUUUCCUUAGAAGAAGCGUCCGUGUCAUGAUCCCCUUGUGUGUGGUGCUACGCAUAUGGAGGGAGCUUCCGGAUACUUCAGGCCAGUACGUUGGAUUCAGACCCCUUUUCGACUGAACUGUGACAUGUUCAGCAACAGCAUCCUCCAUGGAAGGUCUGUCAAGCUGAGCACACAAGUCCUGGGGCACAGGAAUCCGCUGGACGGCAUCCCAAUAAGGAAGAGGGUCUUUGAUGAUCUCGAAGAGGACAAGAAAGAGGACUUAUAUUGGAUACUGUAAUACAGUGCAUUGUAGGCUGUAUACUGUACAAUAAACAAAUUGUAUGGCCCUGAA